rnacentral:tRNA from 2 species
GGGCGAUUGGCGCAGUGGUAGCGCGCUUCGUUCACACCGAAGAGGUCGGCGGUUCGAAACCGCCAUCGCCCACAA